UACGGAAGGCAGCAGUGGGGAAUAUUGCACAAUGGGCGCAAGCCUGAUGCAGCCAUGCCGCGUGUAUGAAGAAGGCCUUCGGGUUGUAAAGUACUUUCAGUCGUGAGGAAGGUGUUAAGGUUAAUAACCUUAGCAAUUGACGUUAGCGACAGAAGAAGCACCGGCUAACUCCGUGCCAGCAGCCGCGGUAAUACGGAGGGUGCGAGCGUUAAUCGGAAUUACUGGGCGUAAAGGGCACGCAGGCGGUUAAUUAAGUUGGAUGUGAAUCCCCGGGCUUAACCUGGGAAUGGCAUUCAAGACUGGUUAGCUAGAGUCUUGUAGAGGGGGUAGAAUUCCAUGUGUAGCGGUGAAAUGCGUAGAGAUGUGGAGGAAUACCGGUGGCGAAGGCGGCCCCUGGACAAAGACUGACGCUCAUGUGCGAAAGCGUGGGGAGCAAACAGGGAUUUAGAUACC
rnacentral:rRNA from 1 species